UGACCUCUCAUCAAUCUUUUUGUCAUAGCUAACAUGUGUCAUCUUAAUGUUUAGAUCGUCGGAUGGGAGUAAACUAUGGAAACAAGCAAUGAAACAGAAAAUAAAACGUACAUUUUCAGUAGGUGGAGACGAAGUCAACUGUGAACUGUUUUGCUAUGCAUAACUGGUAAGGACUCAUCAACCAUUUUUAUUUAGUUUUAAGCCAUUUUACCUCAACUCAACACAUAAAUCUAUCAACUAAGAAUGUAAGACGAUGCCUUUCCAGUUGUUUUGCCAUUGAUAUGUUGGUCUCCGCUUUGGGCCAAGUUUACACGGUUUUUCCCCAAAGUCUUCAUACCAUUGAGAGAUCCUACAUUUUAUAUGUAGUUGCUCAUUCUUUUCAGCUAGCAAUGUGGACUUUUGUUCAUACUUCCAACAAUCUCCCCCUCGAACUAGGUUCCACAUUGCCCAUCACCACGAUUCACGAGAUGUCGUGAUUCAUUGUGUGCUGCCCCUAUUGUCUUGAGUAUUUUAUGACAAUCAAAGCUUGCUACUAGAUUUUUAAGUUCCACGUGGCCAAACAUCACGAUUCACGGGUUGUCGAGAUUCAUUGUAUGUCACCCACAUCGUCCAAAUAUUUUAUGACAAUCGAAGCUCGUAACUAGCUUCUUCUUUUGUGCGCAUCUCCAAGCUCGUAAAGUAAGCAAUUGAACCUUGCCAUCAUCCUCAUCCGCUGAACCUGUGUUAGGCUCAUUGUUAGGCUCCAAAGCCCAAAGACACUCUUACAUGGUGUGAUAUUGUCCUCUUUGAGUCAAGCCUGCGUGACUUUAUCCAACAGGUCUCACACCAUUUAGAGAUAGUAGACCUUUAUAUAUAGCAAUUUGAGACACUUCUUAUUUUCAACUAUUAAUGUGAGACUUCUGUUCAUAUUCCCCAACAGAUUACCAUUUCCUCUGUUUAAAAUCACUUCUACUUGUUAAUAUGUACUCCUUCCGUCCCAUAUUAGGUGGUCAUUUUUCUUUUUACACGCAUGUGAAGAAAUCAUAAAUAAAAAGGUGAUUUUACUAAUUCACCCCUUAAAAACACUUCUCGGGAACUUUACAAACAAGUGUAAUUACUUUCAAAAGGAAUUAAUUGCAAGGAUAAUAUAGAAAGAAGUUUAGGUAAUGCUUUCUUGAUUUAGUAAGGUGGAUAAGUAAUAUGAUACAAUAAUUUUUUAGUAAGAUCAACUAAUAUUGGAUGGAGGAAGUAAUAAGUUCCAUUUUACUCUACUAGGAAAGUAUUAAUGGGAUGUCCCAUUUUGCCUGCUGUACUCUACUAAUACACAUUAAUCCAAUUUUAUGCUAUCGAGAUGUUAGGACAAUUAAAAUUAUACUUCAGCUGUUGUAGCAAACAAUAUUGUCAAAAUCUCUUUGCAAAAUUUGUUAGAUAUAUUUCAUAACGGUGAUGAUUCAAUUAUUCGCUAAAUUGAAUAGGCAAAAGGUCUAAUUUUGCUACUGACUAUUCAAUGCUUGUACAACUUGGCUCUCCCGUUCGAUUUUGGUUGAUUCAUGUCCCUGUUGCCAAGAAGUCAUCUUGUAUUUGAUCUCAUCGUUAAUAAAGCUCCAACAUAAAAUAAAUGAACUUUACGUGCCUAAAUUAUUUGAAUAGAAAGAUUUGACUUUACUUAUCAACUUUUGACUAUAACUUAAAAUCACCUUGGUGUUGGAUGUUAAGGGGAAAACAAGAUUUUUCUUAACCGCAGGGUAGUAUUUGAUCAAAAGUCUAAAAUACGCCGAGCUUGCUCAACUUCAAAUGGCAUACAAAAAUUAAAAGUAAAAAUAAAAAUAAAAAAGGUAUUAUCAUAGACGUCAAUUGGGUACAGUUUCAAAGCAUGAUUAGUUUUUCCCCCGCUUGUAUAACUUACACUCGUAAAUGGCAAUUAUGAUAGGACUUUAAAAUGAUCAAUCAACUAUCUAUUCGAAAUUUCAUAUUCCUUCAUCUAAUAGGCAACCAAAAGAUAGGAAUUGUUAUUAUCAGAAAAUAAUUAUCCUUGUUUAGCGUUUCCUUGAGAGCUCAACCACACCAUAUCCUCUAUCAUACUAGACUCCUCCGUCAAUCUUUACUUAUUUAUAUUGGAUUUAAUAAAGCUUUUAAAAAAUAAUAAAUAUAUAGAUAAUUUUAUACUCCAUUAUUCUUAUAAAUUAUAAGUUAUUAAAAUAUUAAAAAACAAAUAGCAUUUGAUAAGUAAUAAGUUAUUUCCUAGUUUUUUUUUUUUAAUUUAUGUAAAUAAAGUCGAAUAAUUAUUUUUAAUAUUACUGAACAAAAACAUGGACAG
rnacentral:lncRNA from 1 species